GUCUGCUUGUGUCCUUUCUCUCUCUCUCUCUCUCUCUCUCUCUCUCUCUCUCUCUCUCUCUCUCUUGCCCAUCUUUUCCAGGAUUGACCCCCUUCGCCCCCACGAAUAACUAGGUCCCGCCGGUCCGGGCAAUGAUCGCUAGGAGACUGGACACAUGAUUUGGUUACAGAGUGAAACUCAGAGAUUGCUCAGGAAGUGGAGGGGGAGGAGUGGAAGAGACACACAGAGGAGCUGGUGAGAGGAGGGAAUCUUAUGGAGGAAGAAAGGGAUGGAAAUAGAGGGACAUGGAGGGGACAGUAGUCCCACAAGGAAACCAACAAAACUAAAAGAUCUGAGCCCAGGGAUCCUGCAGAGACUGAUGCACCAGCGGAGGACUAUGCAUGGAGAAGACCUAGGACUCCUGCUCAGAUGUGGCCAAUUGGCAGCUCCAUGUGGAUCUCUGAGUGAGGGGAGCAGGGACUCUCUCUACCAUGAACUCAGUUGACUGCUCUCUGAUCAUUCACCCCUGGUGAUGUGGAUUGCCAAGCCACAGAGGAAGAGGCAGUACCCUGAUGAGACUUAACAAGCUAUGGGUAGAUGGCAAUAGGGGAGAACUCCCCUUUCAGUGGACUAGGGGAAGGGGUGGGGGGAAGAGGGACAGAGGAUGAGAGUUGAGGGAGGGAUCUUCAAUCUGGAUAUAUAAUGACAUAUAAUGAAUAAAUUGUGAAGAAAAAGAAUUAAAAAAAAAAAAAAAGAAAAA